AAAACGAUUACUUAUAUCCUCUCUCUCUUUGGAUGUGUUAUCCAACUCAUCUUGACAACCAUGGGCAAGGUCACCCCUCACCUCAUCUUCACUCUCACUCUUCUCCUAAUUACCUUGCCGGUGAGAAGUGGUACUCCAAAAAAAAUAAAUCAAUGAAUUGAAAUGUCUUCCUGAAUUUUCAAAAGGAUUAUUUAUAAUAGAGAAUGAAAAAAUGAAACAAAUAAAUAAAUUGUAACUUCUUCCUAUAUUUGCGAAACUGUUAUAUAUAAUAGAGAAUGAAAAAAACAAACAAACAAUGAAUCAAAACUUCUUCCUUAAUUUGCAAAAUGAUUACAUAUACCCUCUCUCCCUCUCUGGAUGUGUUAUCCAACACAUCCAGACAACCAUGGGCAAGGUUACCACUCACCUCGUCUUCACUCUCGUUCUUCUCUUAAUUAUCUUGCCCGUGAGAGUUGAUCCUCCUUUAAAUCACAGUCAGUCCUUUCUAUUUUUUUCUUACUCGCUAAUUCACUAAUCUUUUACAACCCACAAGCAAAGCAGGGAUGUAGCUGCCUUCGAGCCGCAACCGAGAAUCAAAUAUCUACCGCCCGGCAUGGUCAAGGGCGAUGCCAAAUCUCAAUGCGGAACGUGCAAGUGCUGCGCUACCAACAACCCCAAUAACUGUUCAAAUAUGCAGUGCUGCUAUCACGUCGAAUGCAGCUAUGUCGGCCAGCCUGACGUCGAAUGCAACAUGGUGAUCGACGCUUGCAACUGUAACUCAUGCGGUUGAUCCUUCUAAAUACAUUAGGAUAGAAUAAAUUUAGUAAUUGAAUAAAUUUAGUAACUGGCACGGGCGAACAAGUUUGAGCGUGUUGAAUGGAUUCUCCUGUGGUACAUGUUUUGGAAUUGCAAUUUAAUAAAGCAUAGCUACCUUAAGUUUUCGCUCUUCCUAUUAGCCUUCUUUAUACCUCUUCCAUAAUUUGCAAAAAGUUACUUAUAAUAAAGAAUGGAAGAAAGAAACAAAUCAAUGAAUUGUAACUUCUUUCUUAAUUUACAAAAGGCUACUCAUAAUAGAGAAUGCAAAAAAAAGAAACAAAUCAAUGAAUCGAAACAUCUUCCCAAAUUUGCAAAACGAUUACUUAUAUCCUCUCUCUCUUUGGAUGUGUCAUCCAACUCAUCUUGACAACCAUGGGCAAGGUCACCCCUCACCUCAUCUUCACUCUCACUCUUCUCCUAAUUACCUUGCUGGUGAGAAGUGGUACUCCAAAAAAAAUAAAUCAAUGAAUUGAAAUGUCUUCCAUAAUUUUCAAAAGGAUUAUUUAUAAUAGAGAAUGAAAAAUGAAACAAAUAAAUAAAUUGUAACUUCUUCCUAUAUUUGCGAAUGGUUAUAUAUAAUAGAGAAUGAAAAAAACAAACAAACAAUGAAUCAAAACUUCUUCCUUAAUUUGCAAAAUGAUUACAUAUACACUCUCUCCCUCUCUGGAUGUGUUAUCCAACACAUCUUGACAACCAUGGGCAAGGUCACCCCUCACCUCGUCUUCGCUCUC
rnacentral:lncRNA from 1 species